GGGAGUGAAAUAGAACCUGAAACCCUGCACUUACAAGCUGUGGAAGCACAUUUCUUGUGUGACCGCGUACUUUUUGUAGAACGGGCCAACGAGUUACGUUAAGUAGCAAGGUUAAGCACUUAAGGUGCGGAGCCGUAGCGAAAGCGAGUUUUAACUGAGCGUUCAGUUACUUGACGUAGAACCGAAACCGGGCGACCUACCCAUGAGCAGGAUGAAGCGAAAGUAAAAUUUCGUGGAGGUCCGAACCCACGAGCGUUGAAAAGCUCGGGGAUGACUUGUGGGUAGCGGUGAAAUUCCAAUCGAGCCCGGAGAUAGCUGGUUCUCCCCGAAAUAGCUUUAGGGCUAGCCUCAAGGUGAGAGAUACGGAGGUAGAGCACUGAAUGUCCUAGGGGGUAUUGCACCUACCGAAGACUAUCAAACUCCGAAUGCCGUCAUCUUAUACUUGGGAGUCAGACUGUGGGUGAUAAGAUUCAUAGUCGAAAGGGCAACAGCCCAGAUCGUCAGCUAAGGUCCCUAAAUGUAAGUUAAGUGGUAAAGGAUGUGGGAUUGCACAGACAACCAGGAUGUUGGCUUAGAAGCAGCCACUCAUUCAAAGAGUGCGUAAUAGCUCACUGGUCGAGUGAUCCUGCGCCGAAGAUUUCCGGGGCUAAAACUUACUACCGAAGCUACGGCAUCAGUAAUGAUGGGUAGGGGAGCUUCCCAUACGGGUUGAAGCAUGACCGUAAGGACAUG
rnacentral:rRNA from 1 species